rnacentral:rRNA from 1 species
UUGUAAAAAUUUAAACUUUAUUUUGUUUUAAUUAUAAUUGUUUAUAGAGAUUUGAAUAAUUAUAGGUUAAAUUUUAAUUAUUUAAAGUGUUUAGUUAUAAUUUAAAAUUUUGAGAAUCGAAUUAGAUUAGUACCUAAUUAGUCAAAAGUUAAAAGAGCAGGAGUAAAGUAAAAUUUAAACUGAAAGAAUAUUGGCAGAUUUUCUAAAUUAUCUUUGGAGGUUGAGUGAUAAUUGAGAGCCCUCAUUAACUACUCUUAUAGUGGUCUCAUGUAUGAUCGUUUAUUCUAUGCUUAAGGCAUAUAAAUAAAAAUUUUUAUUUAUAAAAAUAGAUAUAUAUUUGGUUUAUAUAGGAGGUGAUAUUUGACCUACAAUAAUUUGUAGUUGUGAAUCUACUUAUUAGUAAAGUAGUGAAAAUGUAAAAGACAGUAAAAAAGUUUUUAUGAUUUUUUGAAGAUUAUUUAGAUGUGGUACAAAUCAUCCAUCAAUUGCCUAAA